GACGAACGCUGGCGGCGUGCUUAACACAUGCAAGUCGAACGGAAAGGCCCUGCUUGCAGGGUACUCGAGUGGCGAACGGGUGAGUAACACGUGGGUGAUCUGCCCUGCACUUCGGGAUAAGCCUGGGAAACUGGGUCUAAUACCGGAUAGGAGCCAUUUUUAGUGUGAUGGUUGGAAAGUUUUUUCGGUGUAGGAUGAGCUCGCGGCCUAUCAGCUUGUUGGUGGGGUAAUGGCCUACCAAGGCGGCGGCGGGUAGCCGGCCUGGGAGGGUGGACGGCCACAUUGGGACUGAGAGACGGCCCAGACACCGACGGGAGGCAGCAGGGGGGAAUAUUGCACAAGGGGCGCAAGCCUGAUGCAGCGACGCCUCGUGGGGGAUGACGGCCUUCGGGUUGUAAACUCCUUUCGCUAGGGACGAAGCUUUUUGUGACGGUACCUAGAGAAGAAGCACCGGCUAACUACGUG
rnacentral:rRNA from 1 species